rnacentral:rRNA from 1 species
UACAGAGGGUGCGAGCGUUAAUCGGAAUUACUGGGCGUAAAGCGUGCGCAGGCGGUUAUGUAAGACAGAUGUGAAAUGCCCGGGCUCAACCUGGGAACUGCAUUUGUGACUGCAUGGCUAGAGUUUGGCAGAGGGGGGUAGAAUUCCACGUGUAGCAGUGAAAUGCGUAGAUAUGUGGAGGAAUACCGAUGGCGAAGGCAGCCCCCUGGGUCAAGACUGACGCUCAUGCACGAAAGCGUGGGGAGCAAACAGG